rnacentral:rRNA from 1 species
GACGAACGCUGGCGGCGUGCUUAACACAUGCCAGUCGAACGGAAAGGCCCUGCGUUUGUGGGGUGCUCGAGUGGCGAACGGGUGAGUAACACGUGAGUAACCUGCCCUUGACUGUGGGAUAACUUCAGGAAACUGGGGCUAAUACCGGAUAGGAGCUCCUGCUGCAUGGGGGGGGUUGGAAAGUUUCGGCGGUUGGGGAUGGACUCGCGGCUUAUCAGCUUGUUGGUGGGGUAGUGGCUUACCAAGGCUUUGACGGGUAGCCGGCAUGAGAGGGUGACCGGCCACCAUGGGCCUGAGAUACGGCCCAGACUCCUACGGGAGGCAGCAGUGGGGAAUCUUGCACAAUGGGCGGAAGCCUGAUGCAGCAACGCCGCGUGCGGGAUGCCGGCCUUCGGGUUGUAAACCGAUUUCGCCUGUGACGAAGCGUGAGUGACGGUAAUGGGUAAAGAAGCACCGGCUAACUACGUG